rnacentral:lncRNA from 1 species
UGUGUUUGACUCUUAGAGGCUUACUACACAAUCUUGUUAUGUAUUUAGAUUUAUUAUUCUAAUCUAAUCUGAAGAAAUACAAAUAAUUGAGAAAUAGAUGAUUCCAAAUAGACUGUCCUCAUAGUUUCAAAGUCACAGUCUCUCAUGCAAGAUUGUCUAUAUUAACAGUGUUGUCUGUCAACAUUAUCCGUCCCUUUUGAGGGUAGUGUCAUCUGAUAACAUUUUUGAGUCAUGGGAAAUUUCCGGAAACAGAACAGCACACAGAAAGGACUGACCUAUUUCUCUUAGAGUAACAUCCUCGUGGCUCAUCCACUGCAGCCUCUUUAGUAGCAAGCUGUAUCCUGAAGGAGAACUGGAGAUUACCUCAACCAACCAAGUUGCCACUCUGAUGGCAGCUUCAGCUCCAGACACAGAGUUGUUUUUAGAAUUGAUUCCAACAGCCAAUUGGGCACAUGGUGCACAACCCUGAAUUGUUGGAUAUACUCUUCUCUUCUGAUCAGAACAGAAGUCUUAUUGGAAUUCAUGUGGAAAGGACAAUAGUUACUACUAGUCUUGCCCUAGAAUUAUGUUUACUCUACUUGGCCCUGUUAUAUAAGGGAACAAAGCCAUCUGGUGCAUCUGCAGAACACUAUGCUGAUCUACUUUGUCGAGACGUCAUGCUGAUUGGGUUGGAUAAGCAAGAAGCCAUGGAGGUCUUGGGAAGAUACAUGCACUCCAGAGGGUGGAUGCAGGAGCUAAACUCUGAGAAGAUUCAGGGACUUGUCACUUCAAUAAAGUUUUGAGGUGUUUAGAAGUCAGAGGAUUUGUAGAAUGUUUCUUACAGAGUUCAAGCAAAUUGUUGUUGCAUCUUGCAUCUCCUGCCACAAAGAAGGAAGUUGAUCACCUGGAUAGGUCCUUUGGGAUCUGGAGAUGACACCUUCUACAUCAGAUGACUUAGACCAUGGGCAGCUAGGAACAGGUCCUUGGGACAGGAAAGGGCUCUGCAGUAGGUUCACUCUGUAGUGGAUGCUUCCCUGCCACGUGGUCUGUGAAACCUACACUCCCCAUGGGGGUGUCAGUAGUAAGUGCACAUGCAAUGGGAGAAUCACAACACAGGCUCUUGGAAGAGAUGCAGUCCAUGCCAUCUGCAGCUGAAAAAUCCGCCCCCCCUUGGGACAUACUACCUGGCAUAGUACUGGACCCAGGUAAGUUUGGAAUGUCUGGCCAUAGGGUGCAUAUGUCCAUGCAUUUGAAAUUGAGCACUAUGAGCCUGUCACAUUUACCAAGUUAGAGUGAAUAGGCCACCCAGUAUUCCUUUGGAGGUUGGAAAUGGUACAUUCAAGGUCAGGGCUGUGAGUAACAAGCAGUCACUAUCCAAUUAAAAGAAAUCUGGGCAUAGAGCUUCUAUUCAAACAGAUUGUAGGAGGGAGGGGAGGAGGACUGUUGCAACAGGGAGGACCCUAGACAUGAGAUUGGCAGGUGUCUCUAAGGUCAGCCAGAGAGGAGCUUUUACAUUAUAGGGAGGAGUAAGGAGGCCAGAAAAAAAAAAAGAAGGACUGCAACAGGGGCUCGGGGAUUGUGUGUCUUUGAGACCAGCUGAUACUUAGGAGGGUUAAGGAGGCACCAUUCUGCAUUCAAGUGCUGAGCUAGGCUGAUGGUGGGCUGAAGAGAUGAGGAGAAAAUAGGAGGUGACUUAAAGGAAUAAAAGGUCUUCCACCUGUGAGAAUGGUUGCAGUCACAGCUCCCAGGAGUCUACCUUCCUGGAUCACUUCUAUUUGCUAAAUGAUUUUCCUUCCCCUUUCAUCAAAUGAUAAAUGCUCUUUCUCCAUUUCCUUGAGACUGGGCUGGCCUGUGGCUUGCUUUAUCUGAUAGGAUGUGCUGGAGAGGUGUGUGAGCUGGAGGCCUCGAAGGCCUUGCAGCUUCUGCUUAGAACCUCUUACAACGCCAACAUCAACUCCCCAUCAGCCUCCUGGGAAGAAGCCCAGUAACCCCAAUGGAAGCAUGAGAGGCCCUAGGAGAAGAAUUAAGAUGCCAUCGCCAACAGCUGGCACCAGCAUUCCAGAGUCUGAAUGAGGCCAGCUUGGAUCCCAAUCAGCUGCAUGAGUGACCCCAGCGUUUCUUCAGAGAAGAGUGUUAUCCUUCCAAUCCUACCUCCUGACCCGCACAGCUGGGACCUCUCUCCGUGGUAUCUUGCUGCCACUGCUUCAACACUCUACAGACUUGCCCUGAAUCUCACGCUUCAGGAAUCAGGGCAGGUCCCUUCCUCAGUUAAUAAAA